UGCAGUCGAGCGGACGUUUUUGAAGCUUGCUUCAAAAACGUUAGCGGCGGACGGGUGAGUAACACGUGGGCAACCUACCUUAUCGACUGGGAUAACUCCGGGAAACCGGGGCUAAUACCGGAUAACAUCUAGCACCUCCUGGUGCCGGAUUAAAAGAGGGCUUCUUGCUCUCACGAUGAGAUGGGCCCGCGGCGCAUUAGCUAGUUGGAGAGGUAACGGCUCCCCAAGGCGACGAUGCGUAGCCGACCUGAGAGGGUGAUCGGCCACACUGGGACUGAGACACGGCCCAGACUCCUACGGGAGGCAGCAGUAGGGAAUCUUCCGCAAUGGACGAAAGUCUGACGGAGCAACGCCGCGUGAGUGAUGAAGGGUUUCGGCUCGUAAAGCUCUGUUAUGAGGGAAGAACACGUACCGUUCGAAUAGGGCGGUACCUUGACGGUACCUCAUCAGAAAGCCACGGCUAACUACGUGCCAGCAGCCGCGGUAAUACGUAGGUGGCAAGCGUUGUCCGGAAUUAUUGGGCGUAAAGCGCGCGCAGGCGGCCUUUUAAGUCUGAUGUGAAAUCUUGCGGCUCAACCGCAAGCGGCCAUUGGAAACUGGGAGGCUUGAGUACAGAAGAGGAGAGUGGAAUUCCACGUGUAGCGGUGAAAUGCGUAGAUAUGUGGAGGAACACCAGUGGCGAAGGCGACUCUCUGGUCUGUAACUGACGCUGAGGCGCGAAAGCGUGGGGAGCAAACAGGAUUAGAUACCCUGGUAGUCCACGCCGUAAACGAUGAGUGCUAGGUGUUAGGGGUUUCGAUGCCCGUAGUGCCGAAGUUAACACAUUAAGCACUCCGCCUGGGGAGUACGGCCGCAAGGCUGAAACUCAAAGGAAUUGACGGGGGCCCGCACAAGCAGUGGAGCAUGUGGUUUAAUUCGAAGCAACGCGAAGAACCUUACCAGGUCUUGACAUCCUUUGACCACUCUGGAGACAGAGCUUCCCCUUCGGGGGCAAAGUGACAGGUGGUGCAUGGUUGUCGUCAGCUCGUGUCGUGAGAUGUUGGGUUAAGUCCCGCAACGAGCGCAACCCUUGACCUUAGUUGCCAGCAUUCAGUUGGGCACUCUAAGGUGACUGCCGGUGACAAACCGGAGGAAGGUGGGGAUGACGUCAAAUCAUCAUGCCCCU
rnacentral:rRNA from 1 species